rnacentral:rRNA from 1 species
GGGUUGUGAGGUUAAGCGACUAAGCGUACACGGUGGAUGCCCUGGCAGUCAGAGGCGAUGAAGGGCGUGCUAAUCUGCGAUAAGCGCCGGUAAGGUGAUAUGAACCGUUAUAACCGGCGAUACCCGAAUGGGGAAACCCAGUGUGAUUCGUCACACUAUCAUUAACUGAAUCCAUAGGUUAAUGAGGCGAACCGGGGGAACUGAAACAUCUAAGUACCCCGAGGAAAAGAAAUCAACCGAGAUUCCCCCAGUAGCGGCGAGCGAACGGGGAGGAGCCCAGAGCCUGAAUCAGCAUGUGUGUUAGUGGAAGCGUCUGGAAAGGCGCGCGAUACAGGGUGACAGCCCCGUACACAAAAGCGCAUGUGCUGUGAGCUCGAUGAGUAGGGCGGGACACGUGGUAUCCUGUCUGAAUAUGGGGGGACCAUCCUCCAAGGCUAAAUACUCCUGACUGACCGAUAGUGAACCAGUACCGUGAGGGAAAGGCGAAAAGAACCCCGGCGAGGGGAGUGAAAAAGAACCUGAAACCGUGUACGUACAAGCAGUGGGAGNNNNNNNNNNNNNNNNNNNNNNNNNNNNNNNNGUAUAAUGGGUCAGCGACUUAUAUUCUGUAGCAAGGUUAACCGAAUAGGGGAGCCGGAGGGAAACCGAGUCUUAAUUGGGCGUUAAGUUGCAGGGUAUAGACCCGAAACCCGGUGAUCUAGCCAUGGGCAGGUUGAAGGUUGGGUAACACUAACUGGAGGACCGAACCGACUAAUGUUGAAAAAUUAGCGGAUGACCUGUGGCUGGGGGUGAAAGGCCAAUCAAACCGGGAGAUAGCUGGUUCUCCCCGAAAGCUAUUUAGGUAGCGCCUCGUGAAUUCAUCUCCGGGGGUAGAGCACUGUUUCGGCUAGGGGGCCAUCCCGGCUUACCAACCCGAUGCAAACUGCGAAUACCGGAGAAUGUUAUCACGGGAGACACACGGCGGGUGCUAACGUCCGUCGUGAAGAGGGAAACAACCCAGACCGCCAGCUAAGGUCCCAAAGUCAUGGUUAAGUGGGAAACGAUGUGGGAAGGCCCAGACAGCCAGGAUGUUGGCUUAGAAGCAGCCAUCAUUUAAAGAAAGCGUAAUAGCUCACUGGUCGAGUCGGCCUGCGCGGAAGAUGUAACGGGGCUAAACCAUGCACCGAAGCUGCGGCAGCGACACUGUGUGUUGUUGGGUAGGGGAGCGUUCUGUAAGCCUGUGAAGGUGUGUCGUGAGGCAUGCUGGAGGUAUCAGAAGUGCGAAUGCUGACAUAAGUAACGAUAAAGCGGGUGAAAAGCCCGCUCGCCGGAAGACCAAGGGUUCCUGUCCAACGUUAAUCGGGGCAGGGUGAGUCGACCCCUAAGGCGAGGCCGAAAGGCGUAGUCGAUGGGAAACGGGUUAAUAUUCCCGUACUUGGUGUUACUGCGAAGGGGGGACGGAGAAGGCUAUGUUGGCCGGGCGACGGUUGUCCCGGUUUAAGCGUGUAGGUGUGUGUUCCAGGUAAAUCCGGUUCACUUUAACACUGAGGCGUGACGACGAGGCACUACGGUGCUGAAGCAACAAAUGCCCUGCUUCCAGGAAAAGCCUCUAAGCAUCAGGUAACAUCAAAUCGUACCCCAAACCGACACAGGUGGUCAGGUAGAGAAUACCAAGGCGCUUGAGAGAACUCGGGUGAAGGAACUAGGCAAAAUGGUGCCGUAACUUCGGGAGAAGGCACGCUGACACGUAGGUGAAGUGAUUUACUCAUGGAGCUGAAGUCAGUCGAAGAUACCAGCUGGCUGCAACUGUUUAUUAAAAACACAGCACUGUGCAAACACGAAAGUGGACGUAUACGGUGUGACGCCUGCCCGGUGCCGGAAGGUUAAUUGAUGGGGUCAGCGCAAGCGAAGCUCCUGAUCGAAGCCCCGGUAAACGGCGGCCGUAACUAUAACGGUCCUAAGGUAGCGAAAUUCCUUGUCGGGUAAGUUCCGACCUGCACGAAUGGCGUAAUGAUGGCCAGGCUGUCUCCACCCGAGACUCAGUGAAAUUGAACUCGCUGUGAAGAUGCAGUGUACCCGCGGCAAGACGGAAAGACCCCGUGAACCUUUACUAUAGCUUGACACUGAACAUUGAGCCUUGAUGUGUAGGAUAGGUGGGAGGCUUUGAAGUGUGGACGCCAGUCUGCAUGGAGCCGACCUUGAAAUACCACCCUUUAAUGUUUGAUGUUCUAACGUGGACCCGUUACCCGGGUUGCGGACAGUGUCUGGUGGGUAGUUUGACUGGGGCGGUCUCCUCCUAAAGAGUAACGGAGGAGCACGAAGGUUGGCUAAUCCUGGUCGGACAUCAGGAGGUUAGUGCAAUGGCAUAAGCCAGCUUGACUGCGAGCGUGACGGCGCGAGCAGGUGCGAAAGCAGGUCAUAGUGAUCCGGUGGUUCUGAAUGGAAGGGCCAUCGCUCAACGGAUAAAAGGUACUCCGGGGAUAACAGGCUGAUACCGCCCAAGAGUUCAUAUCGACGGCGGUGUUUGGCACCUCGAUGUCGGCUCAUCACAUCCUGGGGCUGAAGUAGGUCCCAAGGGUAUGGCUGUUCGCCAUUUAAAGUGGUACGCGAGCUGGGUUUAGAACGUCGUGAGACAGUUCGGUCCCUAUCUGCCGUGGGCGCUGGAGAACUGAGGGGGGCUGCUCCUAGUACGAGAGGACCGGAGUGGACGCAUCACUGGUGUUCGGGUUGUCAUGCCAAUGGCACUGCCCGGUAGCUAAAUGCGGAAGAGAUAAGUGCUGAAAGCAUCUAAGCACGAAACUUGCCCCGAGAUGAGUUCUCCCUGAGACUUAGAGUCUCCUGAAGGAACGUUGAAGACGACGACGUUGAUAGGCCGGGUGUGUAAGCGCAGCGAUGCGUUGAGCUAACCGGUACUAAUGAACCGUGAGGCUUAACCUUACAACGCCGAAG